rnacentral:rRNA from 1 species
ACUGAACGCUGGCGGCAGGCUUAACACAUGCAAGUCGAGCGGGGGAAGGUAGCUUGCUACUGGACCUAGCGGCGGACGGGUGAGUAAUGCUUAGGAAUCUGCCUAUUAGUGGGGGACAACAUCUCGAAAGGGAUGCUAAUACCGCAUACGUCCUACGGGAGAAAGCAGGGGAUCUUCGGACCUUGCGCUAAUAGAUGAGCCUAAGUCGGAUUAGCUAGUUGGUGGGGUAAAGGCCUACCAAGGCGACGAUCUGUAGCGGGUCUGAGAGGAUGAGCCGCCACACUGGGACUGAGACACGGCCCAGACUCCUACGGGAGGCAGCAGUGGGGAAUAUUGGACAAUGGGGGGAACCCUGAUCCAGCCAUGCCGCGUGUGUGAAGAAGGCCUUAUGGUUGUAAAGCACUUUAAGCGAGGAGGAGGCUACUUUAGUUAAUACCUAGAGAUAGUGGACGUUACUCGCAGAAUAAGCACCGGCUAACUCUGUGCCAGCCGCCGCCGUA